rnacentral:rRNA from 1 species
GAUAAACGCUGGCGGCGUGCCUAAUACAUGCAAGUCGAGCGAACGGACGAGAAGCUUGCUUCUCUGAUGUUAGCGGCGGACGGGUGAGUAACACGUGGAUAACCUACCUAUAAGACUGGGAUAACUUCGGGAAACCGGAGCUAAUACCGGAUAAUAUUUUGAACCGCAUGGUUCAAAAGUGAAAGACGGUCUUGCUGUCACUUAUAGAUGGAUCCGCGCUGCAUUAGCUAGUUGGUAAGGUAACGGCUUACCAAGGCAACGAUGCAUAGCCGACCUGAGAGGGUGAUCGGCCACACUGGAACUGAGACACGGUCCAGACUCCUACGGGAGGCAGCAGUAGGGAAUCUUCCGCAAUGGGCGAAAGCCUGACCGAGCAACGCCCCGUGAGGUGAUGAAAGGCUUCGGAUCGUAAAACUCUGUUAUUAGGGAAAAACAUAUGUGUAAGUAACUGUGCACAUCUUGACGGUACCUAAUCAGAAAGCCACGGCUAACUACGUGCCAGCAGCCGCGGUAAUACGUAGGUGGCAAGCGUUAUCCGGAAUUAUUGGGCGUAAAGCGCGCGUAGGCGGUUUUUUAGUCUGAUGUGAAAGCCCACGGCUCAACCGUGGAGGGUCAUUGGAAACGGGAAAACUUGAGUGCAGAAGAGGAAAGUGGAAUUCCCUGUGUAGCGGUGAAAUGCGCAAAGAUAUGGAGGAACACCCGUGGCGAAGGCGACUUUCUGGUCUGUAACUGACGCUGAUGUGCCGAAAGCGUGGGGAUCAAACAGGAUUAGAUACCCUGGUAGUCCACGCCGUAAACGAUGAGUGCUAAGUGUAAGGGGGUUUCCGCCCCUUAGUGCUGCAGCUAACGCAUUAAGCACUCCGCCUGGGGAGUACGACCGCAAGGUUGAAACUCAAAGGAAUUGACGGGGACCCGCACAAGCGGUGGAGCAUGUGGUUUAAUUCGAAGCAACGCGAAAAACCUUACCAAAUCUUGACAUCCUUUGACAACUCUAGAGAUAGAGCCUUCCCCUUCGGGGGACAAAGUGACAGGUGGUGCAUGGUGGUCGUCAGCUCGUGUCGUGAGAUGUUGGGUUAAGUCCCGCAACGAGCGCAACCCUUAAGCUUAGUUGCCAUCAUUAAGUUGGGCACUCUAAGUUGACUGCCGGUGACAAACCGGAGGAAGGUGGGGAUGACGUCAAAUCAUCAUGCCCCUUAUGAUUUGGGCUACACACGUGCUACAAUGGACAAUACAAAGGGCAGCGAAACCGCGAGGUCAAGCAAAUCCCAUAAAGUUGUUCUCAGUUCGGAUUGUAGUCUGCAACUCGACUACAUGAAGCUGGAAUCGCUAGUAAUCGUAGAUCAGCAUGCUACGGUGAAUACGUUCCCGGGUCU